ACAAUGCUUCAAUAUUUUACAAUUAUCACCUUUAAAAAUAUAUAUCCUGUAAUCAUUGUUUGCUUCUAUUGUGAAUAAAUGCAAAACAAAUAAAUGGAUAAUAACAAUAAUUAUUAUGUAUAUAUACUAAUUGAGAGUGAAAGGAGUGCUUAUAGUAGAGAUGGGAGUGAUGACUGUAGAGGAGAAAUUAAUACAAGCAGAAAUGCUAAGAAUGGAGGUUGGCAGUAAAGGACUGAGAGCAGAUAUGUCACACAAGAGAGGGAGAUCUGGAAGCUUUUGAAUGGGCUGAUAUUGUGAAGAGCUGAUGAAGAAUGAUUAAG